UUUUCGGUAAAUGCUCUAUAUAUGAAGCCUAUAAUCUUUUAAUUCGUUUUAAAAUUUAUAACCACGUUAUACAUUUGUAUUAAUGUAUGAUAAACUUCUUUUCAUGGUAAAUGGACAUCUUUCUAAUUUUUUAACAAUUGAUUUAGCAAAACUGUAAAUACUCCCUAAAUCAUUGGACUAACCACUAUAAAAUUGCUAUUCCUUAGAGAAACGGAGACAACAAAGGUUCCAAACCUCUUUGAACUUCAUCAUAUUUUAUUACAUGAUUCAAAUAUGUAUUAAAACAGUAUUUUCAAUUUUUU
rnacentral:lncRNA from 1 species